UCCUCCGUGGCCUAAUGGAUAAGGCAUCGGUCUCCUAAACCGCUAAACCGGGGAUUGUGGGUUCGAGUCCCACCGGAGGUG
rnacentral:tRNA from 1 species